rnacentral:tRNA from 1 species
GGACUAACCCCCCCCAGGAGGCUUCUAACCUCCUCUUAAGCGACCCUCGUUUUUAGUUCU